GAAUUCGCCCUUAGAGUUUGAUCCUGGCUCAGGACGAACGCUGGCGGCGCGCCUAACACAUGCAAGUCGAACGAGCGAGAGAGAGCUUGCUUUCUCGAGCGAGUGGCGAACGGGUGAGUAACGCGUGAGGAACCUGCCUCAAAGAGGGGGACAACAGUUGGAAACGACUGCUAAUACCGCAUAAGCCCACGGGUCGGCAUCGACCAGAGGGAAAAGGAGCAAUCCGCUUUGAGAUGGCCUCGCGUCCGAUUAGCUAGUUGGUGAGGUAACGGCCCACCAAGGCAACGAUCGGUAGCCGGACUGAGAGGUUGAACGGCCACAUUGGGACUGAGACACGGCCCAGACUCCUACGGGAGGCAGCAGUGGGGAAUAUUGCACAAUGGGGGAAACCCUGAUGCAGCGACGCCGCGUGGAGGAAGAAGGUCUUCGGAUUGUAAACUCCUGUUGUUGGGGAAGAUAAUGACGGUACCCAACAAGGAAGUGACGGCUAACUACGUACCAGCAGCCGCGGUAAAACGUAGGUCACAAGCGUUGUCCGGAAUUACUGGGUGUAAAGGGAGCGCAGGCGGGAAGACAAGUUGGAAGUGAAAUCUAUGGGCUCAACCCAUAAACUGCUUUCAAAACUGUUUUUCUUGAGUAGUGCAGAGGUAGGCGGAAUUCCCGGUGUAGCGGUGGAAUGCGUAGAUAUCGGGAGGAACACCAGUGGCGAAGGCGGCCUACUGGGCACCAACUGACGCUGAGGCUCGAAAGUGUGGGUAGCAAACAGGAUUAGAUACCCUGGUAGUCCACACCGUAAACGAUGAUUACUAGGUGUUGGAGGAUUGACCCCUUCAGUGCCGCAGUUAACACAAUAAGUAAUCCACCUGGGGAGUACGACCGCAAGGUUGAAACUCAAAGGAAUUGACGGGGGCCCGCACAAGCAGUGGAGUAUGUGGUUUAAUUCGACGCAACGCGAAGAACCUUACCAAGUCUUGACAUCCCUUGACAGGCAUAGAAAUAUGUUUUCUCUUCGGAGCAAGGAGACAGGUGGUGCAUGGUUGUCGUCAGCUCGUGUCGUGAGAUGUUGGGUUAAGUCCCGCAACGAGCGCAACCCUUAUGGUCAGUUACUACGCAAGAGGACUCUGGCCAGACUGCCGUUGACAAAACGGAGGAAGGUGGGGAUGACGUCAAAUCAUCAUGCCCUUUAUGACUUGGGCUACACACGUACUACAAUGGCGUUAAACAAAGAGAAGCGAGACCGCGAGGUGGAGCAAAACUCAGAAACAACGUCCCAGUUCGGACUGCAGGCUGCAACUCGCCUGCACGAAGUCGGAAUUGCUAGUAAUCGUGGAUCAGCAUGCCACGGUGAAUACGUUCCCGGGCCUUGUACACACCGCCCGUCA
rnacentral:rRNA from 1 species